GACGAACGCUGGCGGCGUGCUUAACACAUGCAAGUCGAACGGACAGGCGCUGCUUUUGUGGGGUUCUCGUUUGGCGAACGGGUGAGUAACACGUGAGUAUCCCGUCCUUGUCUGUGGGGUAACUUCUCGGAACUGCGGCUAUUAUCGGAUAGGAUCUCCUGAUGCGCGUUGGUGGAUGGAAAGAUUCGGCGGUUGUGGAUGGUCUCGAGGCUUAUGAGCUUGUUUGUCUGGUAGGUGAGUACCAGGGCUUUGACGGCUAGCCGGCCUGGGAGGGUGACCGGGCACAUUGGUCCUGAGAGACGGCCCAGACUCCUACGGGAGGCAGCAGUCGGGAAUAUUGCACAAUGGGCGGAAGCCUGAUGUAGCAACGCCGCGUGCGGGAUGCCGGCCUUCGGGUUGUAAACCGCUUUCGACUGUGCCGAAGCGUGAGUGACGGUAAUGGGUAAAGAAGCACCGGCUAACUACGUG
rnacentral:rRNA from 1 species